rnacentral:rRNA from 1 species
CAAUUCGAUAUAGUUUGAUGAUUUGUAUAUUAUUAUAGGGGUUGAGUAGAAGAGUAUAGGUAUUAAGAAUAAUAUAUUGUUAUUGUACAUAUUGUUGAUAAAAUAUUAUUGGUUAUAGUUAAGUUUUAUUGUGAAAGGUGAAUACAUUAAAUCUUGUAAAAGUUGAAUAUUUUUUUGUGCCUUGUGUAUCAGGAUGUAUUUAAUUAAGUUAUUUAUUUUCUUUUCUCGAAUUUAAAAGAGCUAAUUAUUUAUUGUGUUUAUUGUUAUAUAAAUAUCAUUAAUAUUUAUUGGUAGUGAAAUGUUAAUCGUUUUUAUGGAUAUCUAGUUGCUUAAGAAAUGAAUUUAAUUUAGCUUCAUUUUUUUGUUUAUAUAAUUGGGAAUAUUAAUUUAAAUUUUGAAGUAAAUUUAUAAGGGAUUAUCUUUAUAGGUUGUUUGUUAUAAUUUAUGUUUUAAUUAAAAUUAUUUUGGUUUAAAAGUGAUUAUAAUUUAAGGUGUUUUAAAACUUUAUUUAUUUGAAUUUAUUUAUUUAUGAAUUGAUUUAACUGUUAUAUUAAGUUGAUUUUUUUAAUUUUUAUUUGGAUGUAUUUAUGAUACAAUAAGUAUAUUUUUUUUGUAAUUGAUAAUUGUUUUGUUAAUUCGUGUUUAGGAAUUAGGCAAAAGUAAUGUGUUCGUUUGUUUAACAAAAACAUUUCUUCUAUGUUUUAAGUUUGAAGUAUGACCUGCCCACUGAAUAUUUGAAUGGCCGCGGUAUUUUGACCGUGCAAAGGUAGCAUAAUCAUUAGUCUAUUAAUUGUAGGCUGGAAUGAAUGGUUGGACGAGAUGCAAACUGUCUUGAUAUAAAUAUAUUCGAAUUUAAUUUUUAGAUAAAAAGGUCUAAAUGUUUUCAUGGGACGAGAAGACCCUAUAGAGUUUUAUGUACUUUGUGAUUGUUUGGGUUUAGAUAAUUAAAGGGUAUAUUAUAGGUUAUAUUUUGUUGGGGUGAUGGCGAGGUAAGUAGAACUCUCGUUUGUUAUUACUAUAAUAAUUAUUAAUUUUAAAGAUCCAUUAUUGUUGAUUAUAAGGCUAAAUUACCUUAGGGAUAACAGCGUAAUCUUUUCGGAGAGUUCAAAUCGAUGAAGGGGGUUGCGACCUCGAUGUUGGAUUAAGAUAAAUUAUAGGUGAAGAAGUUUAUAUAAUUGGGUCUGUUCGACCUUUAAAAUCUUACAUGAUCUGAGUUCAAACCGGCGUGAGCCAGGUUGGUUUCUAUCUAUGAAAUAAUGAAGUAUUUUAGUACGAAAGGACCAAAUACUUAGAAUAAUUCUUUAUUAUUGAUUUUUAUUAAUAAUUACUUUGGCAGAUAAGUGCAGUGGAUUUAGAAUUCAUUAAUGUAGU